AGCCCCGUGGUGUAGCGGUCAAGCAUAGCUGGCUCUGGACCAGCUGACCUCGGUUCGAAUUUUUCGAGAAUCCGAGCGGGGCUA
rnacentral:tRNA from 1 species